rnacentral:rRNA from 1 species
GAUGAACGCUGGCGGCGUGCUUAACACAUGCAAGUCGAACGAAGAAGGUUGGAAUGAGAGCUUCGGCAGGAUUUCUUUCCAUCUUAGUGGCGGACGGGUGAGUAACGUGUGGGCAACCUGCCCUGUACAGGGGGGAUAACAGUUAGAAAUGACUGCUAAUACCGCAUAAGACCACAGGGUCGCAUGACCCGGUGGUAAAAACUCCGGUGGUAUGAGAUGGACCCGCGUCUGAUUAGCUAGUUGGUGGGGUAACGGCUCACCAAGGCGACGAUCAGUAGCCGACCUGAGAGGGUGACCGGCCACAUUGGGACUGAGACACGGCCCAA